CUGGUUUCAAACUCCUGACCUUGUGACCCACCUGCCUCAGCCUCCCAAAGUGCUAGGAUUACAGGCAUGAGCCACCGCGCCUGGGCCUUUGGGUAUUUUUAAAGAGUAAAGUGCCCUGAAGACUGUGUGUGUAGGUAAGGGGCUUGCCCUCCCACUGGAUGGCUCUGGAUAUAAAGUCAUGGAAACACAGCUCCUGCAUGUCUUCUAAGAGGCUUCAUGGUGUGGAGAGUGCAGAGUGCUGGCUGAGGGCCGGCCUGGCCCAGCUGGAGACUGAAGCAUGCCAAACUGACUCUAUCCCUUAGGAACCAAGAGGACAGCCACCACCCACAGUACCAGGCAGAAGCAGCCUGGGCCUCGUGGUAGUUGCUAAUCUGAGCCCUUGAUGGAGCAGUUUGAGAAGCACUGGGUUGGAGUAGUAAUCAUCACUGAGAAGAUGACCAUAUCAGCAUUCUAUCUGCCUCCAUAACAAAUUAUCACGAAAUUGGUGGCUUAAAACAAUAUUCAUAACCUCCCAUUUCUGUAGGUCAGCGGUGUGGGCACAAUGUAGCCCAGCUGGGUCCUCUAUGCAGGGCCUCAGGGCUGGGCUCUUAAGGCUCUGGGGAAGAUCUGGCUUCCAAGCUCACUGGCCAUUGGCAGAAUGCACUUCCUUUGGCUUCCCACACAGCCACAUUGAAAACAGCAAGCAUGUGUCCAAACCCAGAGGCUUCAGGUCUCACUUCUGCUUACAGCUCCUAUGAUCACACUGGGCCGUCGGAUAAUCCAGGAUAAUCUCCCCAUUUUAAGGUCAACCCACCAGUUACCUUAAUUUCAUCUGCAAAGCCCCUCUUGCCACGUGAUAGAGCAUAACCAUGGGCAUGGCCCCAGAACGUGAAGGUCAUGGGGGCUGCAAUUCUGCCUACCACAUUGACUUCAUCAGCAACAGGUCCAGUUCGGGAUGAAUCGCCUCUGAAGGGUGCUCUGAAGUGCUCCAGCUGAAGUUUUGGCCAUCUCCGCCAGCCACACCCCACUGGGUUCCUCCUCCCCAGCUCUGGCUGUUUCGUCCCCUCUAGCCAUCGCCCACCGUCCACACUGCCAUACGGCCGCUCAGGACAUCCCAGUUCCCUCCUGCCCGAGAGCUCUCAUCUGAGGACGCGCAUCAUUCCUCAGGAAACUCUAUCUUUCCACACCACCCCCAGCUGUUCUCAGCCACCCAGAAAAAAGGAACAUAAACGCUAAUGGGGAAAAACAUGGGGACACAUCUCAUUUCACCCCACACUCCCUCAGCUCAACCUGGGAAUGUAACCUGCAGGGCAGCAAGACCAGAAGCAACACCACUCCAGUUCUCCCAAGGGCCAAUGGCAUAGCCCUUGGGUAUUCUCAGGGUUCUCUUACCCAGACAGGUGGCCAGCUAGCAGGAGUGCACACACUUCCAAAUAUCAGCUAAAGUCAAAUGAUGGCUCAAUCUUCUCCAUCUAUUAAAUCAAAUUGGUGCUAGGCUCAAUGGCCAAGGAUGCAAAGCUGGUUGUCUUUGGUCCCUUCCAAACUGUGGUCUGUGAAUGAGCAGUGGUAGGUAUUACCUUGGAGUUGCUACAUCUAUAGAGUCCCUCCUAGUGAACUGGAAUCUGCAUUUUAAUGAGAUACCCAGGUGAUCUGUAAGCACAUCCUGAAAUGCUGAGGAAAACCUGAAGUCAGCAGCAGAAAGGCGGACUCCAGCUGUGUCCAGGCAUCCUUCGUUCCGAGUCCAGUCCUUACCUGGCCCAUACAGGCCCAACUCCCAGCCACUCUUCCUCCUCCAUCAAGCACCACCUAUCUCUUGAGAUCUUUCACAAAAAUAAACUUUAGGGAAGGGUGGGACCUUUGGAAUAAUCUAGUCUUACCCCACCUCAUGGCCUCUUGCAUGUCAGCGCCAUCACCAUCAUCAUGCCACGUGCUGUGUCUCAGAGCCUGUUCCCUCCUAGUUUAAGAUCUUUGAGAAACCAUGUCUUUUCAUCUCUGUAUCCUCAAAGUCUGGCUGAUCCAGUCCGGUAUAUAGCAGGUCUGCUAAAUUGUUGUUAAACUGCCUUAAUUUCGAUAGAUGAAGCAAGCAGAGCCAGGAGAAGUUGGGGAGAUCAGCUAAGAUCACUGGGCAGUCAGGUGCUGAUCCACGUCCAAACUUCUGAACCAGGGAGGCAUACAAGAUGCUUUAGUGACUUACAUGUGUGUGCCAUUUUUAUUUGUCUCCAACACCCACCCUAUGUUGGAUGCCAUCUCAAUUCUUCUUGUGUAUUGAGAAUGAGUCUUUUAUCUAAGCUCGUUAAAACAGAAAUUCCAUCCAUAUUUACUUCAAAAGACUCAAAAAUACAAUUUAAUAGAAUACUUAAUAUGAAUUUCACAGGCACCAAAGUUUACAGCUGUUGAGGAUGAGGUCACACUGGCCCAACUAAAGUCAUGUCACCUCUCUCACAUCGUAGCAUUCUUUUAUCCUUGUUUUACACUCUUAAGAGAUAGCAUAAAGAAGAAAAUCAAAACCCAGAAAAGGUUUGCUGUAAUUACUCCAAUAAUUUCCUUCAGUGAAAAUCUCUUAUCACUAUGAUUUUAGUGACAGAGGAACAAGCAGAGCUCUGACGUGGGGCUGAGUGCCCACUACUAAAGGGCAGAGGCUGCCGCCAGGCCACCAAGGCCCAUCUGGCCAGGCAAGGCCACCCAGAGCCCUCACGUUUACUCCAAACGGCCAUUCUUGAGCCAGCUGGGUUGGGUCCCACCCCUUCUGGCUUGCACCACCACAAAGAAAACCUCAAGAAUAUCUGCUUUGCCGUUUUUUUUUUUUUUUGCAGACAGAGUCUCGCUCUGUCACCAGGCUGGAGUGCAGUGGUGUGAUCUCGACUCACUGCAACCUCCGCCUCUUGGGUUCAAGCGAUUCUUCUGCCUCAGCCUCCCGAGUAACUGGGACUACAGGCACGCACCACUACGCCCAGCUAAUUUUUAUAUUUUUAGUAGAGACGGGAUUCCACCAUGUUGGCCAGGAUGGUCUCGAUCUCUUGACCUUGUGAUCCGCCCGCCUCGGCCUCCCAAAGUGCUGGGACUACAGGCGUGAGCCACUGCGCCCGGCUGCCUUUUUUUUUUUUUAAAAAAGGAGAAAAGUAACAAUAAACAACAGCCUUAAGAAAAAACAAGAAGCAACACAGAUCAUAUGGGAAGCACAACUUUCUCAGCCAAGUAGCCCAAAUUAUCACAAAUAAUCCUACCAAGAAUACACCUAAUACUGGAGGGGAAAGAAUGCUUACACAAAACUGUUGUUUGCUUUGAAGCUUUGAAUAAGUUCCAAGUUUUUAUAUUUCACAAUUUAUAUACUUUAUUACAGUCCACAGUCUGCUAAAUAAAAGCAGUAACAAGAUAUUUCACAAACUAUUGUACAAAUUAAGUCUUAUG
rnacentral:lncRNA from 1 species